UGGUAUUUUGACUAUACAAAGGUAUUGUAAUAAGAUUUUAAUUGAAUGCUAAAAGAAUGGAUUAACAGAUAAAUACUUUCUUUAAUUUAAAAAUUAAAUUUAUUAUUUUUUGUGCAGAAACAAAAAUAAAAAUUAAGGACAAGAAGACCCUAAGAAUUUUAAUUUGAUUUAAAUAAUUUAUAUUUCUUAAUCAAAUUUAAUUGGGGCGAUUGAAAAAUAUUUUUAACUUUUUUUUAAAAAAAAUAUGAACCAUUAAUAAUGGUAAUAUGAAAAAAUACUCUAGGGAUAACAGCGUAAUAAUUUUUGAUAGUUCAUAUAGACAAAAUAGUUUGCGACCUCGAUGUUGGAUUAGGAUUCUAAUUUAAUGAAGAAGUUAAAUUAAGAAGUUUGUUCAACUUUUAAAUUCCUACUUGAUCUGA
rnacentral:rRNA from 1 species